GGAGAGCUGGGCUCCGGUGCUUGCGAGGCCAGGAGGCAGGAGGCAGCAGCGCUUGGAGGAUGUCCCAGCGGCUGUGGUCGGCGGGUGGGGCGGGGAUACGGGGAGGGAGGGAAGUACCCCGGGCUACAUGCAUCUUGAAUAGGCAAUAGGAGUUUUGACCUGCUCCUGCUCUUAAGUGAAAGAGGUUGUAAUACUCCCAGUACUCAUGGCUAGCUGUUGGCUUCUGGCUCUGCGGGAAGUUAGAGAUGGUGAUAAUGAAGUUGUGGAGCCCACAUUCAGCUGCGGUGCUAUUCUAUAACGGUUCAGUGCACUACUGCUGCUGCUGCUGCCAAGUCGCUUCAGUCGUGUCCGACUCUGUGCGACCCCCUAGACGGCAGCCCACCAGGCUCCCCCGUCCCUGGGAUUCUCCAGGCAAGAACACUGGAGUGGGUUGCCAUUGCCUUCUCCAAUGCAUGAAAGUGAAAAAUGAUCUCCAUGAUGAUAGAACAAAAAGGGCAAGCAGAUCUUGCAACACAGUUGACCAUGAAGACAGAGAAGCAAUCUCCAAGCAGUGAAGAUCUGGGUUUUCAGCCAUCCCUGAAUUCACCUACCUCCAGCACAUGAGAGAAUGGUCAAAAGCAGGGACCAGGAGUUUAAAUAUACAGACAACGGCCAGACCAAAUAUAAAAACAGAAUUCUGAUUCACAUUCUGCAGCACUCAGUCCAGGAAGGCAAACAAUGCCUAUGACAAUCAACACAAGAGGCCAGGACUUGAUUAAUGACUGACAGCUUCACUCAUUUUCCUUUAGGAUCAACUGAGACCCAGCUGGGAAAGUCAAAUAUGCACCCCUACUCAAUCACAUACAAUGCUCUGCUUCCAGUUAGCCUACCUACAGUUUCCCCAGGCCAACACCUCUUCCUUCAGGCAUACCUUUUUUCCAUUUUAUAUAAACUUUUCCCUCUCCUCUGCCUGCUUUUGAGACUCUGCCAACACAAAUGAUGGUAGCUAACUCCCUUGCUAUAGCAACCUCUUAAUAAAAAGCCUUCACUUGUUCCCAUUUGGGUGAUCUUUAUUUUCCCACAAGAUAAUCCAUGAGUUGAUAUUUUUUGAAGUUGUGGGACUAGUAUUAUUGAUCAUUCAUUUAUGCUAUCCUCUCUACCUUUGUAUAUGUUUGAAAUUUCCCACAAUAAAAAAUUUAAAAUAUUUCAAAAAUGUCAGGGUCAUUAAACAAUAACAACAGCAGAGACUGAUUC
ensembl:lncRNA